UAAUACAGAGGUCACAACCGUUAUCCGGAUUUAUUGGGCGUAAAGCGUUUCGUAGGUGGAUUAGAUAGUUACUCUUCAAAGACCACGGCUCAACCGGGGGAAGGGGAGUAAUACUUCUAGUCUUGAAAUAUGGUGGGGUAUCUGGAACUGAUGGUGUAGUAGUGAAAUACGUUGAUAUCAUCAGGAACUCCAAGGGCGAAGGCAGGAUACUAACCAUUUUUUGACACUGAGGAACGACAGCUAGGGGAGCGAAAGGGAUUAGAGACCCCUGUAGUCCUAGCCGUAAACUAUGCUCGCUAGGGGUUAGAAUUUAUUCUGGCCCCGUAAGCUAACGCGUUAAGCGAGCCGCCUGGGGAGUACGACCGCAAGGUUAAAACUCAAAGGAAUUGACGGGGACCCGCACAACCAGUGGAGCAUGUGGUUUAAUUCGAGACGAAACGAAAGACCUCACCCAGCCUUGACAUACAACCGUUUUAAGCACCUANAAAUAGGAGCCUAUCUUUAGAAAUAUUGAUGGUUGAACAGGUGUUGCAUGGCCGUCGUAAGUUCGUGCCGUAGGGUGUUCCCUUCAGUGGGGUAANCGAACGAAACCCUUAUCAAAUAUUAAAUAUUUAUUUGAGACUUCCUAAAUUUAUUUUAGGAGGAAGCAGAGGAUGACGUCAGGUCAGCAUGGCCCUUAUAGCUGGGGCAACACACAUACUACAAUGGAGCCGACAAAGGGUUGCCAAAGANCAAUCUGGAGCUAAUCCCAUAAACGGCUUCUCAGUGGGGAUUGGGGGCUGCAACUCGCCCCCAUGAACGUGGAAUUGGUAGUAAUCGCGGAUCAGCAUUGCCGCGGUGAAUACGUUCUCGGGUCUUGUACACACCGCCCGUCAAGUUAGCAAAGUUGGAGAUACCUUAAAGGCCGCUGUGCGGUCUCNAGGUANAAUCAGCGAUGAGAAUU
rnacentral:rRNA from 1 species